AUUGAACGCUGGCGGAAUGCUUUACACAUGCAAGUCGAACGGCAGCACGGGGCAACCUGGUGGCGAGUGGCGAACGGGUGAGUAAUACAUCGGAACGUGCCCAAUCGUGGGGGAUAACGUAGCGAAAGUUACGCUAAUACCGCAUACGAUCUACGGAUGAAAGCGGGGGAUCGCAAGACCUCGCGCGAGUGGAGCGGCCGAUGUCAGAUUAGGUAGUUGGUGGGGUAAAGGCUCACCAAGCCAACGAUCUGUAGCUGGUCUGAGAGGACGACCAGCCACACUGGAACUGAGACACGGUCCAGACUCCUACGGGAGGCAGCAGUGGGGAAUUUUGGACAAUGGGCGCAAGCCUGAUCCAGCCAUUCCGCGUGCAGGAUGAAGGCCUUCGGGUUGUAACUGCUUUGUACGGAACGAACGGCGAGCUCUAAUACAGUUUGCUAAUGACGGUACCGUAAGAAUAAGCACCGGCUACUACGUGCCAGCAGCCGCGGUAACG
rnacentral:rRNA from 1 species